rnacentral:lncRNA from 1 species
CUACUGCCAAGUUGAACCGUAACCCUUUUAAAAAACAAAGAAUUGCUGUGCUGGUGGAAAAUACGUUAAUUUCACUUUAUUUGAUGAGAUACAAAAGUGAAAGAUUUCCAUUGCAUCUUGUUGAUCAUCAUUAUAAAUAUCAUUACCAUUAUCAUUGUUAAAAAAAAUCACUUUCUGUACCUGUGUAAAAUUUACUGAGCACCAUCUUUGUUCAUAAAUAUUAUUGUUCUUAGAUAUUUGAUUUGAUCUAAUCCACGAGGAAUGGAGCUGAGAGUAAACUGGGAUUCAUUUCAUCAUUGUCACCUUAUGCCUCUGUCCAGCAGGACCCCAAUGACAAUGUCACAAACAAACAAGACUUUACAGGAGAACAAUAAUAACAAUAACCAUACUUAUAACAACAGAAUAUCCCAAAACAAUUAACAGUAAUAAACAAAAUUGCACAAUUUUCGUUGGAAAUCUGUACCGCUGUGUCACAUGACAAAAUGACAUAAACUUUGCGAUCUAAAACAUCAAGUUUCAGAAUUUCUUUCCCCUCUGACUGCUUACACUGAAAAAAAAGAUCUUGUUUUGUGCAUUUUGUUGCAAUGUGCAGAUAUCAGUACAUACAAGUACAUAAUAUAAAAAAUAUGUUUUUUCACAGACCUGUUGUUGCUGUUGUGCUAAACCUUUUGGCAUGAAAACAAAACAUUUGAAAAACAGAGGGUUUGGUAUAAAAACUGACCUGACAUAGUGGUAGAAAAUACAUGCCAAAAUAAGACAUUACUUGCAGGACACAGUAUCAUGGCAGUGUGCGAUAUUUUCAAAAUAAAACAAGUGUAUUUUAGUCUAUUGAGUCAGACAGCAGUUCAGCUGGAGUCGUCCAGUUAAAGCUGAGAAACAUUUCAAACCUGGUUCUUGGUGGAGGUGAUCCAUGGAGUAACGUCCAAAAGAACAUGUAAAUAUUUAACAUACAAAUACUCAUUUUCCUGAUUCAGUUCAGAGGGCUUUUUGCACUUUUGUGGCGUAUACAAACCACCAAAUCUUAACAUUCAUCCCCAGUUCUUUAGUCUUUCAUUUCCGUUCAUUUUCCUGCCACUUUCCCGACUUGUCACAUAGUCCAUCCUUCUGCAGUCAGUCGUUCAAAAAAUGCACUAUUUUUGCUCUAAACUUUGUCCAGGAGGGAUCUCUUGCAGUAGAGCAGGCGUCGCGGCGUGCCGUACUUCCUGAAGAACAACAGCGCGCCCAGCGUGAACACAACCAGCACCAACAGCAGGAGCGGGAUGACCACCGCCACAGGCCCCGCCCCGCCCUGCGAUUCGUCCACUUCAAUGAUGAUCACUUCCUCCUCUCUGCCCCGCUUGGGCUCCUCGCUGUCGCAGCCCAUCCAGUCACUCAGCACCGACUUGGGAUUGCCUGGAUGCCCCUGCGGUCGUCGUCUGGGAGCUGGAAAUUCUCUGUUUCAAACCACUGGUAAAAGGGCGCCAUGAUGGCCGAGGGGCUGUUGGAGUGCUCUAACCCGAGUGCAUGGCCCAACUCAUGGACGGCCACCAGGAAAACAUCAUUGCCUUCACGGAAAGAGUGAAUAGGGUAAACAUAUGAAAAUAUCAAUUUAAAUCAAUUUCCUUCAUAUCAAAGGGGAUAAAACCACUGCAAGGUUUCCUCCAUAAAUCAUUCUUGUGCACAUUAUUCAGAACUAUGAACUGUUUUAUGACAAUUAUUUCU